UACGUAGGCAGCGAGCGUUGUUCGGAGUUACUGGGCGUAAAGGGUGUGUAGGCGGUUGUUUAAGUUUGGUGUGAAAUCUCCCGGCUCAACUGGGAGGGUGCGCCGAAUACUGAAUGACUUGGAGUGCGGGAGAGGAGAGUGGAAUUCCUGGUGUAGCGGUGGAAUGCGUAGAUAUCAGGAGGAACACCGGUGGUGUAGACGGCUCUCUGGACCGUAACUGACGCUGAGACGCGAAAGCGUGGGGAGCAAACAGG
rnacentral:rRNA from 1 species